GACGAACGCUGGCGGCGUGCUUAACACAUGCAAGUCGAACGGAAAGGCCCUGCUUUUGUGGGGUGCUCGAGUGGCGAACGGGUGAGUAACACGUGAGUAACCUGCCCUUGACUUUGGGAUAACUUCAGGAAACUGGGGCUAAUACCGGAUAGGAGCUCCUGCUGCAUGGUGGGGGGUGGAAAGUUUCGGCGGUUGGGGAUGGACUCGCGGCUUAUCAGCUUGUUGGUGGGGUAGUGGCUUACGAAGGCUUUGACGGGUAGCCGGCCUGAGAGGGUGACCGGCCACAUUGGGACUGAGACACGGCCCAGACUCCUACGGGAGGCAGCAGUGGGGAAUAUUGCACAAUGGGCGGAAGCCUGAUGCAGCGACGCCGCGUGCGGGAUGACGGCCUUCGGGUUGUAAACCGCUUUCGCCUGUGACGAAGCGUGAGUGACGGUAAUGGGUAAAGAAGCACCGGCUAACUACGUG
rnacentral:rRNA from 1 species